CCUACGGGAGGCAGCAGUGAGGAAUAUUGGACAAUGGGCGCAAGCCUGAUCCAGCCAUGCCGCGUGCAGGAAGAAGCAUCUAUGGUGUGUAAACUGCUUUUGUACGGGAAGAAACACUGCUACGUGUAGCAGCUUGACGGUACCGUAAGAAUAAGGAUCGGCUAACUCCGUGCCAGCAGCCGCGGUAAUACGGAGGAUCCAAGCGUUAUCCGGAAUCAUUGGGUUUGAAGGGUCCGUAGGCGGUUUGGUAAGUCAGUGGUGAAAGCCCAUCGCUUAACGAUGGAACGGCCAUUGAUACUGCCAGACUUGAAUUACUAGGAAGUAACUAGAAUAUGUAGUGUAGCGGUGAAAUGCUUAGAUAUUACAUGGAAUACCAAUUGCGAAGGCAGGUUACUACUAGUUUAUUGACGCUGAUGGACGAAAGCGUGGGGAGCGAACAGGAUUAGAUACCCUGGUAGUCCACGCCGUAAACGAUGGAUACUAGCUGUUCGGGGUAACCUGAGUGGNGUAGAGAAGUAGAGUAAGUAAGUACCACCGUACGGGAGGGUAACGGUUACGUCGAAGAAAGUAAGUUAAACGUUAAAAGUUAAGUUAAGUUAGUUACGGCGUUGAGAGAGCGACGGACGACGACGAGGGAGGAGGAG
rnacentral:rRNA from 1 species